GUGUUUAUAGUAUAAUUGGUUAAUGCGCUAGACUGUGAAUCUAGAUACUUGAUUUCGAUUCUCAAUAAACACC
rnacentral:tRNA from 1 species